AGGAAGGGGUUGGUGCCAGCCUGCGGGGGCAGCGGCCCCGCCGGGCCGGACGUGGGCAGCAGCGGCUGAGGCAGGCUCGCGGGCGGCGGGGCGAAGGCUCCGGCUUGCGGGAAGACGCUGACCGAGGCGGGGAGGGUCGCUCCGACCGGCACGCUACUGAGCGGGAGGGGCAGGGAAGCGCUGUAGGUCAUGGAGCCCAAGGGCGCCCCGACGGGUCCCCCCGGCGGCAGGCCGAGCGCGGGCGAGCCGGUGCGCAUCUGGUUCAGGGUCGGCCUGCCUGGCUCGCCCAAGCCAAACGGGGCUGCUGGACUUCCCCGUGGCCAGGGCCUGGCUGUCCUUGGGCUCUGUGGAUUCUAGAGAUUUGGCAAAUGGAUCGAAGGAUGAGGCUCCACCUAGAGCUAGCCAGGAGAAAGAGGGCAAUGGAGUGAACUAGAAGAAGGCAUCUUUUAAUGACUCCUCACCUCUGAUCAGCACUUCCCAUUUAUAAAACGUUUCCUCAACCAUGCAGUGUCCCAUGUCAUAACAUCGCUGUGAGGCUCUCUGUCCCGUCGACGUCGGGCAGCGGGUUCUGCGCCAUUGGCCAUUGGAGAGUCAUCAUCCUUCCAGGACCUUGACCCCUGCAGAAGGGACAGGCAUCCUGUCCAGACCCAGGUCUCACCUUUUCAGCCUCCUCACGGCUCAUGGCCAGGGCCAGCUGCAGCUGCAGCUCUUCUUCUCCAGAUGUCUGGGGCCGAGCCUGCUCCAGGUCUGAGGCAUAGCGCGGAGACGAGGAUGCGGCUGCAACAAGUGUGGCUCCCGUGAGCACACCGGUCCCCACGGUCCCCACACUCCUCUGCCUGCCAGGAAGCUGGGGCUCAGAGAGAGUGAGCCAAAGGAGACUGGCUAUUCAGGCUCCAGGGAGCAGGCAGCACACUGGGCAGCCCUCGUGGAUUUUCCACGGCACUGCUAAAGCAAGUGACAGGGCCACCUUGACAAGGAGUCGACAGUGCAGGGGGUGCCUGGCCACUUAGGGCCCUAAGUCAGAACUUAAUGCAGGUCUCUGACAUCAGCUCUUGAACUCUCCCAGAAGGACCCUAGCUUGCUUGGGGCCAUGGGGAUUAAGAGGAAGGGAUCUGCCAAUCAAACAAAAUCACAGCCUCGGAGCCCCAAGCAGGCCAUCAUGGGCUUUAUGGAGGAGGGCCGUUCUGGUAUUCCUAAGGUCACAAAGGCCUCCACCACUGUGGCAAGCCAUCAGGAAGGAUGUUUCAACAUCAGCCACACUUGUUUUCAAGGACAAUACUUUUGAGUGGUGGGGAUUUACAGAACGUCAGGCGUCUGAGUAAAAGGGUCAAGGGCAUUCUUGCACCUUGUCUCAUUCAGUUCUCAGAUCAAACAAUAGAGGGAGGUAAGUGUACCUCUGUUUUACAAAGAGCUGGUUGCCCAAGCCAAGCAGCUUGGAAGGAACAGAAUGAAUGGUAUGCAACUCCAGAGGCUGCAUUUCCACCUGCAUGCCACCCUCCCAACAGCUAACUAAUAACGAGGACAAGCAAUGGAUAAUGUCAUUAUUUCAUCUGAAUUGCUGAGCACCUAUUAUGUGCAAGCAUGGUGCUUUUCACAUUACAUUCUUUAUCUGGAUGGGUCCUCCCAGCCUCCUUUCUGAGGUAGGAACUCUCUCUCAUUCAUGGCUGCUGGCUGCAGAGCCAGGGCUGUGGCUGGGCUACCACCACCAUCACUACCCUCUCCAGCCAUAUCAUUAGGGUCUACUCACAGGUGUAGGAGGAGGGGGAUCCCCGAGAUCUUCGGCUGAAGCCCAGCUGCCCACUGCCAAUGCUCAUGCCUUCCAGGGCCAUUCGCUCUUUGGUCUUGAGGGCGUGGGUCCGCUCUUGCCUCAGACGCUCCUCGUCCUUGAGCAGGGCCAUCACCUGUUUGACCUUCUCACGGACAUUGACGCCUUGGUCCUUGCCAUCUCGGUCAAUGUACUGGAAGUCCUUGAGUGUCUGGAUGGUGUAGAGGUUCUCGCGGCACUGGUGGGCCACACGCUCCGAGCCCGUCUUGAGCAGGUAGUCCAACAGUGUCAGAGCCUUGUAUACGUGUCGCCAGUUCUUACCGCUGUCAUUGAGCCGCCGCCACAGCAUGCCCAUAACCUCAGCAAAGGCCACCGUGUUGAAGGUCAAGUCAGCGAUCUCCGACAUGAGGGAACUGGGCGGGCCCCAGGGGUCAUUGCUGGUGGCCUCGCGCACCUUGAUCUCAGCCUCCGAGUAGUUGUGAACAAUGUUCUUCACCUGGCGUCGGAGCGCAGAGGUUGUCAUGGUUGGGGACUUGGAGGUGGGCAGCCCCCACCCCCGCCGGAGGUAGAGGGCUGAGGGCCACCGUCUUGAGGUCACUGUCUCGAAGGAUGGGCCGCCGUGCUUUCAGCAGGGCGGCUGCGUCCUUGGGUUCCACAUGGGGCUGAGAAAAAGAGG